AAAAGAACAAAUGAAAUUUUCAGAUCCUGUCUCAUCCACAAGUGGAAUGGAGCAAGGAAAAGAAGAGGACUUGAAAGGAAAGCAAGAAAGAAAGAUUGAAGAUCCUGUCUCGAGCACAAGUGGAAUCUAACAAGGAAAAGAAGAGAACUUGGAAUUAAAGCAAGACAGAAAGAAUGAAGAUACGCCAGUGAGACAGAAUAUAUGUAUCGAGGAUGAUGAAAUCCCUUCAAGUCAACGAUGAAAACACCGA